AACGCAUAUUGCGCCCGAAGCUUCGGCUCAGGGCAUGCCUGCCUCAGCGUCGUAUAUUACCGGGGUUAAGUAGAACUUGUUCACUUAAUUCCACGUCACACACCCCCGUGCAAUCCCCCCCUUGUUCGGCGUGACGAUCUUGAUCUUCCCAAGACCAUGUUGUCGUGGGUUGAUCGAAUAUGAGGACAUGAGCGAGGUACACAAGCGUCUCAACUGGACAGGUUCGCAUCACACCGUAUGCGCAACAUGAAUAGUUGAGGCGUGGGCUUUGCAAAUGUCAACAGGAAGCCAAGCGAUUGGCGAUACAUACCUUCGACCUGAGCUCAGGCAAGAUUACCCGCUGAACUUAA
rnacentral:misc_RNA from 1 species